rnacentral:rRNA from 1 species
UGCGCAUCUAUAAUGCAGUCGAGCGAACAGAGAAGGAGCUUGCUCCUUCGACGUUAGCGGCGGACGGGUGAGUAACACGUGGGCAACCUACCUUAUAGUUUGGGAUAACUCCGGGAAACCGGGGCUAAUACCGAAUAAUCUGUUUCACCUCAUGGUGAAACACUGAAAGACGGUUUCGGCUGUCGCUAUAGGAUGGGCCCGCGGCGCAUUAGCUAGUUGGUGAGGUAACGGCUCACCAAGGCGACGAUGCGUAGCCGACCUGAGAGGGUGAUCGGCCACACUGGGACUGAGACACGGCCCAGACUCCUACGGGAGGCAACAUUAGGGAAUCGUCCACAAUGGGCGAAAGUCUGAAGGAAAAAGCACCGCGUGGGUG